AAUCACAAACCCUUUUCUGUAGUUUUUAAGUUCUUGUGGGGCAAUGUUAUAUCCUGUCCCUUUUUCCCUCACAGGACUUUCUUUGAGCGUCAGAGUCCCAAGACAGAGGCCUCGGAAAGUUUCAGACUGCUAGAAUGGAAGAUUUCACCUUCAGUGACGUGCAUAUUAAACUAGGCUUUCCUUACACUGGCACCAGGGAGACUGUGAGCAUGUUGUCGUUAUUACUGACAUAAGUGUAGGGGCAGGUUGCUGUCAACAGUGUCAUUCAAGGCUGAAGGAUAAGAACAUGGUCUUUAAACUCAAGGCAAUUUCUUGAUGAAGUGGUCAACAAAAGAAACAAUGAUCUGUUUCAAUGCUAAAGAGAAAAAGCAAUUGGCAAUUAUUAAGAGUUUGUUGGACACGAGCUUAUGCGUACUGAUGACUGCUUGGAUAGGGCACUUUAUAUCAAGAAGCACUGGCUGUGGACCAGAAAAUGCUCCGUUUGUAAAAUGUACACAGCUAGAGUGUUUUUUACUAAUGAUAGCAUUCAGUUAAUGAUACAUCAAGUGGUAGAAGUGUUUUGGAAAUCUUUGAAGAAUGUGAGAACUACACCAUCUAUCAUGAGGCUUCUAAGGUUAUAUUUAAAUUCACCUAAGUUUCACAUCUAGAUGGCUAAGAACAGACAUCAUUUACCAUGUAAAUAAGCAACAAUGAAUCCUGUAGGACUAUGCAUUUAAAAGAUUCACAGUGAAGUUAUGUCUUAUGGACUUGAAAUGCUACAUGUCAGUUUAGUCGAUUGGUUUGGAGAUGACAAGCACCCAUUCCUGGUAUGUCUACCAUGGUUCUCAUUCUGUUAGUACACGGAGGAUCACUAUAGAGAAUUAAGAGACUACUCCAUGGCUGACUUAUAACAUUCCUAUGUUUUUAUUUUCCUGUAUUGAAGAGUGCUAAAAUUGAGCAGAUCGAAAAUUCCACUGGAAAACCACAGACUUAAGAUAAAUAAGUGAUAUAUCCAAUUUCUAUAAUUCCACAGGUAAAAUGUAUUUUUGAUUCCUUUUUCUUUUUUUCCCAGAGAAGGGGUCUUGCUAUGUUGUCC